rnacentral:rRNA from 1 species
AGUCGAGGGGUAUGGUUCUUCGGAACCAGAGACCGGCGCACGGGUGCGUAACGCGUAUGCAAUCUGCCUUUCGCAGAGGGAUAGCCCAGAGAAAUUUGGAUUAAUACCUCAUAGUAUAGCGACAUCGCAUGAUGAUGCUAUUAAAGUCACAACGGUGAAAGAUGAGCAUGCGUCCCAUUAGCUAGUUGGUAAGGUAACGGCUUACCAAGGCAACGAUGGGUAGGGGUCCUGAGAGGGAGAUCCCCCACACUGGUACUGAGACACGGACCAGACUCCUACGGGAGGCAGCAGUGAGGAAUAUUGGUCAAUGGGCGCAAGCCUGAACCAGCCAUGCCGCGUGCAGGAUGACGGUCCUAUGGAUUGUAAACUGCUUUUGCACAGGAAGAAACACUGAUUCGUGAAUCAGCUUGACGGUACUGUGAGAAUAAGGAUCGGCUAACUCCGUGCCAGCAGCCGCGGUAAUACGGAGGAUCCAAGCGUUAUCCGGAAUCAUUGGGUUUAAAGGGUCCGUAGGCGGUCUGGUAAGUCAGUGGUGAAAGCCCAUCGCUCAACGGUGGAACGGCCAUUGAUACUGCUGGACUUGAAUUAUUAGGAAGUAACUAGAAUAUGUAGUGUAGCGGUGAAAUGCUUAGAGAUUACAUGGAAUACCAAUUGCGAAGGCAGGUUACUACUAAUGGAUUGACGCUGAUGGACGAAAGCGUGGGUAGCGAACAGGAUUAGAUACCCUGGUAGUCCACGCCGUAAACGAUGGAUACUAGCUGUUGGAAGCAAUUUCAGUGGCUAAGCGAAAGUGAUAAGUAUCCCACCU